AAUCUUUAUCUUUGUAUCUUCUAACAAGGAAACACUACUUAGGCCUUUAGGAUAAGGUUGAGGUUUACGUUCUUAUACUCAAUCAUACACAUGACAUACAGUCAUAUUCGACUCCAAAACAAUAACCAAGCCUCUUCUUGCUUCUCAAAGCUUUGAUGGUUUAGCCGAAGUCCAUAUGAGUCUUUGUGUUUGUAUCUUCUAACAAGGAAACACAACUUAGGCUUUUAGGAUAUGGUUGCGGUUUAAGUUCUUAUACUCAAUCAUACACAUGACAUCAUGUCAUAUUCGACUCCAAAACACUAAUCAAGCUUCUUCUUGCUUCUCAAACCUUUGAUGGUUUAGCCGAAGUCCUUAUGAGUCUUUGUGUUUGUAUCUUCUAACAAGGAAACACUACUUAGGCUUUUAGGAUAAGAUUGCGGUUUAAGUUCUUAUACUCAAUCAUACACUUGACAUCAAGUCAUAUUCGACUCCAAAACUCUAACCAAGCUUCUUCUUGCUUCUCAACGCUUUGAUGGUUUAGCCGAAGUCCAUAUGUCUUUGUCUUUGUAUCUUCUAAGAAGGAAACACUACUUAGGCUUUUAGGAUAAGGUUGCGAUUUAAGUUCUUAUACUCAAUCAUACACAUGACAUCAAGUUAUAUUCGACUCCAAAACACUAACCAAGCUUCUUCUUGCUUCUCAAAGCUUUGAUGGUUUAGCCAAAGUCUAUAUGAGUCUUUAGCUUUGUAUCUUCUAACAAGGAAACACUACUUAUGCCUUUAGGAUAAGGUUGCGGUUUAAGAUCUUAUACUCAAUCAUACACAUGACAUCAAGUCAUAUUCGACUCCAAAACAAUCACCAAGCUUCUUCUUGCUUCUCAAAGCUUUGAUGGUUUAGCCGAAGUCCAUAUGAGUCUUUGUCUUUGUAUCUUCUAACAAGGAAACACUACUUAGGCUUUUAAGAUAACAUUGCGGUUUUAAGUUCUUAUACUCAAUAAUACACAUGACAUCAAGUCAUAUUCGACUCCAAAACACUAACCAAGCUUCUUCUUGCUUCUCAAAGCUUUGAUGGUUUAGCCAAAGUCUAUAUGAGUCUUUAGCUUUGUAUCUUCUAACAAGGAAACACUACUUAUGCCUUUAGGAUAAGGUUGCGGUUUAAGAUCUUAUACUCAAUCAUACACAUGACAUCAAGUCAUAUUCGACUCCAAAACAAUCACCAAGCUUCUUCUUGCUUCUCAAAGCUUUGAUGGUUUAGCCGAAGUCCAUAUGAGUCUUUGUCUUUGUAUCUUCUAACAAGGAAACACUACUUAGGCUUUUAAGAUAACAUUGCGGUUUUAAGUUCUUAUACUCAAUAAUACACAUGACAUCAAGUCAUAUUCGACUCCAAAACACUAACCAAGCUUCUUCUUGCUUCUCAAAGCUUUGAUGGUUAAGCCAAAUUCCAAAUGAGUCUUUAUCUUUGUAUCUUCUAACAAGGAAACACUACUUAGGCUUUUAGGAUAAGGUUGCAGUUUAAGUUCUUAUACUCAAUCAUACACAUGACAUCAAGUUAUAUUCGACUCCAAAACACUAAUCAAGCUUCUUCUUCUUGCUUCUCAAAGCUUUGAUGGUUUAGCCAAAGUCCAUAUGAGUCUUUGUCUUUGUAUCUCCGAACAACAGAACACUACUUAGGCUUUUAGGAUAAGAUUGUGGUUUAAGUUCUUAUACUCAAUCAUACACAUGAGAUCAAGUCAUAUUCGAGUCCAAAACACUAACCAAGCUUCUUCUUGCUUCUCAAAGCUUUGUUGGUUUAGCCAAAGUCCAGAUGAGUCUUUAUCUUUGUAUCUUCUAACAAGGAAACACUACUUAGGCUUUUAGGAUAAGCUUGCGGUUUAAGUUUGUAUACUCAAUCAUACACAUGACAUCAAGUCAUAUUCGACUCCAAAACACUAACCAAGCUUCUUCUUGCACCUCAAAGCUUUGUUGGUUUAGCCAAAGUCCAUAUAAGUCUUUGUCUUUGUAUCUUCUAACAAGGAAACAUUACUUAGGCUUUUAUGAUAAGAUUGCGGUUUAAGUUCUUAUACUCAAUCAUACACAUGACAUCAAGUUAUAUUCGACUCCACAACACUAACAAAGCUUCUUUUUGCUUCUCAAAGCUUUGAUGGUUUAGCCAAAGUCCAUAUAAGUCUUUAUCUUUUUAUCUUCUAACAAGGAAACACUACUUAGGCCUUUAGGAUAAGGUUGCGGUUUAAGUUCUUAUACUCAAUCAUACACAUGACAUCAAGUCAUAUUCGACUCCAAAACACUAACCAAGCUUCUUCUUGCUUCUCAAAGCUUGGAUGGUUUAGCCGAAGUCCAUAUGAGUCUUUGUCUUUGUAUCUUCUAACAAGGAAACACUACAUAGGCUUUUAGGAUAAGAUUGCGGUUUAAGUUCUUAUACUCAAUCAUACACAUGACAUCAAGUUAUAUUCGACUCCAAAACACUAACCAAGCUUCUUCUUGCUUCUCAAAGCUUUGAUGGUUUGCCAAAAGUCCAU
rnacentral:sRNA from 1 species